rnacentral:rRNA from 1 species
UACGUAGGGUGCUAGCGUUGUUCGGAAUCAUUGGGCGUAAAGCGCGUGUAGGUGGUUAGGUAAGUCGGGUGUGAAAUCCCUGGGCUCAACCGAGGAGGUGCAUCCGAAACUGCCUAGCUAGAGGACGGUAGAGGAAGGCGGAAUUCCAAGUGUAGAGGUGAAAUUCGUAGAUAUUUGGAGGAAUACCGGUGGCGAAGGCGGCCUUCUGGACAGUGACUGACGCUGAGACGCGAAAGCGUGGGGAGCAAACAGG